CAGGGGUUGAACCCGUAUCUCUUAUGUCUCCUGCACUGACAGGCAUGGAUCUAUAGCUUUUCUAUGAUGACUCUGAAUAACAGGAGUUUGUGAUGUCCUUUGUCAAGAUUAUUCUGGCAGCCACCUGCAUGUUGGAUGGAGGGACUUUUUCAUCAUCCCAAAUGGAAACUGUACCUAGUGGACAAAAACUCCCUAUUCCCUUUCUGCACUGUGCUGUGCUAAAGUUGCUUCCGUUGCAUCUGACCCCAUGGACUGUGGCCCGCCACGCUCUUCUGUACA